rnacentral:rRNA from 1 species
CACGAAACCGCAUGGUUUUGUGUGAAAAACUCCGGUGGUACAGGAUGGCUCCGCGUUGGAUUAGCCUGUUGGCGGGGUAACGGCCCACCAAAGCUACGAUCCAUAGCCGGCCUGAGAGGGUGAACGGCCACAUUGGGACUGAGACACGGCCCAGACUCCUACGGGAGGCAGCAGUGGGGAAUAUUGCACAAUGGGGGGAACCCUGAUGCAGCGACGCCGCGUGAAGGAAGAAGUAUCUCGGUAUGUAAACUUCUAUCAGCAGGGAAGAAAAUGACGGUACCUGACUAAGAAGCCCCGGCUAACUACGUGCCAGCAGCCGCGGUAAUACGUAGGGGGCAAGCGUUAUCCGGAUUUACUGGGUGUAAAGGGAGCGCAGACGGCAAGGCAAGUCUGAUGUGAAAGGCUGGGGCUUAACCCCGGGACUGCAUUGGAAACUGUCUGGCUUGAGUGCCGGAGAGGUAAGCGGAAUUCCUAGUGUAGCGGUGAAAUGCGUAGAUAUUAGGAGGAACACCAGUGGCGAAGGCGGCUUACUGGACGGUAACUGACGUUGAGGCUCGAAAGCGUGGGGAGCAAACAGGAU